rnacentral:rRNA from 1 species
AUUUUUAAUUGAAAUCUGGAAUGAAAGGUGGAAUCUGAGAAGGUUGUUUUAUUUUAAGAUUUUAAAUUUAAAUUAAAGGUAAAAAUGCCAUUAUUAGUUCUUGGGACGAGAAGACCCUAGAAGCUUAUUUAAUUUUAUUUUGGUUGGGGAAAUGGUUAAAGAAGAAUGAUUUUUAAAGAUUAAUUUUUUUUAGGAAAAAGUUACUUUAGGGAUAACAGCGUUAUUUAGUUUGAAAGUUCAUAUUAAUAAUUAAGUUUGCGACCUCGAUGUUGAAUUAAAUAAACUUUAAAAUGAAGAAGUUUUAUUAUGGUAGUCUGUUCGACUAUUAAAAAUUUACAUGAUUUGAGUUCAAAUCGGUUUAAGCCAGGUCGGUCNUUAUC